CACAUGUUCAGUGUCUUCGUUUUUAUUUUUCUCUCUUAUAUAUUAACAUACUCAUAACUUAAAAUAACAAACGUUCACUUUGUACCCCAUAAACUUGUCUUGCUUACCACCAGUGUACCACACCUUGGGAAACACUGACCUAGUCAAACAUGCUCAUUUUACAAAUUAGGAAGCUGAGGCCCAUAGAAGGGUCUUAGCCAAGGCCUCUCAGCUACGUAGGGGCAGAAACUGGAGCAGAAGGGAUUAAUGAUAACAGCUCCCUAUUCAUUCAGCUUUUACUGUGCACUCAGCGCUGCACUAAGCCCUUUAUGUAUAUUUCCUGAUUCACAUAACAACCGUGAGAUAGUGUCUGUCACUGUCCCAAUUUUGCAGAUGAGGGAGUUGAAGCCCAGAGAGGUUAAGUGACUUGUCCAAGGCAACACAGCUAGUCAGUUGCUCAACCAGCACUUUAACACAGGUCUUCUUGACUUCAAAGUCUGGCUCUUAAUCAUCCAAGGGAAAGAGGGAGGGGAGAGGAGGAAGGGAUGGAAUGUUUAGUAAGGGCUAGCUACUUUUAUGUCUAUUGCUGUAUCCUUCUCUGCUCACCCAUUCAGUGUCCUUGUCCCAUAAAAUCCUUACCACAGCCUACAGUUGCCACAAACAGUGUCACGCCCCAAAGCCUUGGGGCACAGGAAGAGGUGUUUAAGUCCCCAUGUGAUUUCACGGAAGGAUGCCCUCCACCACUCACACCCCCGCAGAGGCCCUCGCCCAGCUAGAGCUGUGGACGCUGGGCUUAGGCUUGAGAAAGUUGGGCUUCUGAUCUGCCAGACCUAAGACCAGCUCCUCUGCUCCCUAAUUAAAUAACUUGGACAAGCCCCUCAGCAUCUCUGAGCCUCAGUGCCCUGUCUAUUCAGUGGGAAUUAAUGUAACGUGCUUAGCACAUGCCUGGGACGUGGCGCUUAGUAUUCUCUAAAAGAGAAAAAAGGGAUCAUAAGGGAGAAUAGUGGGGAAAGCCUCCCGUCCAGGUCGUCCACCUCCAGGACCCCAGAGCGGACCUGCAGCCGGCCGUGCAGCCCGCAGCCCCCACGAAGAACACAGUCAGGCGGCCGGACUGAGAGGCGCUGAGACAUAGACAGAAAGAGCCCGGGGCCGAGAAGCAGAAAAGGUGGGUCCUGCACCAGCUCCCCCACCAAGAAGCCCGUGUGCCUGUGGCGGUCGGGGGCCUUGCUGAGCCUGUUUUCUCAGCUUGCUGAACGGGGAUCACCAGGGCCUCAAGUUUAAACGACCGUCUUACGUUCACAGAAUUGAGUCCUUGGCUUGUCAGGGCACAAAGUGCUGUCCAUGGUCAUGGAGGCCAAUCCUUCAUUUUACGAAUCUGGGAACUCUUCACGCAGGUGCACGCACAGAGUCCUAUAUGUACACGAGGGUCGGCGCUCGAGGGUUUGGGGUCCCACCUCACCUGGGCCGUCGCCAUAGAAUCUCUGGCCUUGCUCACCUCAGUCGUCCCAGCUGUGAAAUGGGUGCGGUCAAAAGCCUCUUCUGAAAGAACUGAUGUGAAGACUAUAUGGAUGAAGUCUGGGAAGCCCUUCGUACACCGCCUGACAGAUGGUGAAGGCUUCAGACACCAGCUAUUAUUCCUUGUCUCCGAGAAACGUAUUUCGUGGGGUGAUUUAGCAAAUAAAGACACUGGGAAAUGCUUGCUGGGUUCUUGAACAGAGAAACAUGAAAAUGUGGAUUUCCCCAAAAUCUUGGCGGGUCAAAGAAAUAUUAGUUGAAAGAUUCCCUCAUUCGACACACAAUUUUUUGAGGACUCAGGGAAGGCGUGCUGCCUGGCUCGAGGGCCAGGAGACUGAGGGUGCCGCAAACCUUCCUCAAACCUUCCAGCUAGACAGGAAGACAACAGGCAAACAGCACAGUCUGCACUGCUACUAAAGCUCUGUUAACGCGGUGCUAGGAAAAUGUGAAGAGUUCAACGGGCAGGAUCCAGUAAGCAGGAAAGCAGUCUUUGAGUUGAUCCUUUAAGAAUGGGAAGAAUUUCCUUUAAAAAAAAAAAAAAAGAGAAAAGAUAAAAAUAAAAAUCUGCCCACGUCUACGUGUCCAGAUUCCACCCAUCCUCCAGAAGCCACUUCCUCCCGAACGCCUUCCAGGAGCACUCUUCAAUGGGGCAACUUCUCCUUCCUCUUUUGAAAUCCAUAAGCCUUCAUAUGCCCAGCUCAUAGGGUGCUUAUCACCACUAUUUGGUAUUUAGCUGUUUCUGGGGCUGUUUUCCUCAUCUGGGGGCUUUUAAAGAAAACCCUCUGAGGGCCUUCCUUGCGUGCAGUGGGCAUCGAUAACUGAACUGGACUGAGUGGACAGGUGCAGUUAACGGACAAAUCAGGUGCUGAGACAAAACGAGGAGAUUAUUUGGGUUUUCCUGACUGCUAAUGUAACUUUGAGGAUCCUUUCUGUAAGCUUGCUGCCCAUUUCGCUUGCUCGGUCUUCAGCUGCCCCAUCAUAGCCUUUGCCCAUUUUUCUAUUGGGAUGUCCUCUCAUUUCAAGCAGCCUGGAUGUCUUCCAUCUGCCCCUCCAAAUCCGUGCUCGGCCUUUCCCCAUCUGCUCUCUGCCCCUUAGACCACAUGGACUGUGCCAAGCCCCCAGUGCUCAGCUUCCCGUUGAGUUUGGCCAACGGGAGGCACAGCUGGAGGCCACUGGGCGGGAGGAAGGAGAGGCUGGGUUAUUUACACCCAAGCCCUCCCCCUGCUCCCACUGGGCACCGCCGGGCCUAGGUAGAAACGAUUCCGUUCUGAUACCAGUUCUUGUUCACCAACCUGGUGUAUUUCCUCAGCCCUGUCCACACCUUUGGAAACAGUCCCUCUGAAUUGUCCCUCCUUUAUAUCUCCUUAAACCACCCAAUUUGGGGGUGCCACCCCCUCCUGCCAGGACCCUGACUGAUACAGUGUUAUGGUUAUUCUGUUCAAGCUCUACUCUUUGUGCAAUGACUUUGUUUUCUAGUAUCUUUUGCCAUACUAUCUAUCUAUGAAUACACAUGGCCAAAUUUAAUUUUUAAAUAAUACCUCUUAUCUUUUACAGUUUCCUGUUUUCAGCCUUGAAAUGCAAAGGUCUUCUCUACCUCUAGAUCAGGAAUUGGCAAACUUUUUCUAGAAAAGGCCAAAUAGUAUAGAUUACAGACUUUACGGGGCAUACAGUCUCUGUUGCAAAUACUCGACACUGCCGUUGCAGUAAGAGAGCAACCACAGACUGUAUGUCAACAAACGUGUACAAUAAAACGUUAUUUCAGUUCAACUCCUAGGUAUCUCCCCAAGAGAAACGAAAACGUAGGUCCACACGAAAACUUGUGUAUGAAUGUUCACGGCAGCCUUACUGUAACAGCCAAAGCUGGAAACAACCGAGAUGUCCAUCAACUGAUGAAUGGGUUCAUAUAAUGUGGCGUAUCCACACAAUGGAAGAUCUUCCUCUAGGAGAAGGAAUGAAGUAUCCACAGAGGCUACAACAUGGAGAAAACUUGAAAACAUGCUAAGUGAGAGAAGCCAGACACAAAAGUCAUACAUUGUAUGAUAUUUCAAUGAAAUGUCCAGAAUAGACAAAUCUAUAGACAGAAGGUAGACGGGUGGUUGCUUAGGGCUGGCGGAGGAUCGGAGAUAGGAGACAGCUAACGGGCAUGGGGGUUAUUUUGAGGUUAUGAAAACGUUCUAAAAUUGACUUUGGGGGUGGUUGUAGAUAUCUACGAAUAUACUAAAAACCAUUGAACUGUACACUUUAAAGGGGUGAAUUAUAUGGUUUGUGAAUUAUAUCUCAAUAAACUAUUAUUAAAACACAAACAAAAGGCCCACGGUCAGCAGCUUGCUGAGCCCUGUUCACAUUAUACGUGCAGUCUCCCACAAUCUCUUACAAUAUCCUGUAUUAUUUUAAUUCUUACAUUUAAAUGUUUGAUCCACUUGAAAUUUAGUAUUUUAUGGUGUAAGGUGGGGGUUCAUUUUUAUUUGUUCCCUAGGACUAUGUUAUUGGGCUUCCACCACUUGUGAAAUAAACUAUCCCUUUUUCCACUCAGAUGGGGAAUCUCUUUUGUCAAAUAUUAACCUCUGUAUCCUGGGAUCUAAUUCUGGAUUAUUUAUCAUGUCCAUGGAUCUAUUUGUCUAUGCCUUCCUCAAUGCCACAAUGACCUGAUUUUAGUGACUUUAUUGUAUGUUCUGGUUUCUGUAAAGGAAGUCCCCUCUCAUGUUCUUUUCUUUCACACUUGACUUGUAGCCAGUAAGCUUAUCAAAAUGGCUAUCACUCCCUGCUUAAAAGCCUUUAAUGGAUUCCCACUGCUCUGCAAUGAUGGCCUGCAUCCUAACUGGCCCUGAGCGCUGCAUGCUUGGCCCUGCCUCGCCCUCCAGCUUCACUUGGCCAAGACCGCUUCACCUGGACUUUGUACUUCAGCCAGGCCAAAGUCACUCAAGUGUUCCUGCCCCAGGGCCUUUGCACUGGCUGUUUCCUCUGCCUGGAAUGAUUUUCCUUCUCUUUUGUCAAGUCCUCCUCUUCUUUGGCCUCAGUUUGAUCAUCACUCCCGCGGGAAGCCUCUGCUGACCUACCCGACUAGAACAAAUCCUUUCCCCACAUUGUGAACUUGUACUGUGCUGCACUGGCUACACUGCAAUAUUCCAUUUAUUCAUAUAAUUUUUUGAGCAAUGUCUGCCUCCUCCAGCUUCCCAUUGCCUUCCCAGUAUUUAUCACCGUGUCCCACUCAUAGUCAGUACUCAAAAACAAAAAAAGUUGAAGGAGUGAAUAAACAGGUAGAGACCGAACUCAGGCACCUGUCUGCCUGGCUUCUGAACAGCUUACGCUCUCCCCUUCCUCAUGCUUGUGCUGCCCUGGAGCAAGCCCGGGAUGGGCUGUUAGGAGCCCCGGGUUUUAGAGUCCGCUCUGCCUCUGAUGGAGCCAGUGCCCUGCACCUGUUUCAAGGUGCUCCCCGACUCCCUGCUCUCAUGGUCUCACAGUCCCAUGGGAGGCAACCCAUCGGCGAAACGGCGAAGAGGGGUUUAGACUGGGGCAUGUCAACACGUCACAUGGCUCAGGCACCCCAGGUGUAGCCAUAUCUCAGUUCCACCUGUAUUGUUAUCGAUUUAAAAUUUUUAUUGAAAGGACUUUUUAAAAAAAUUUAUCUUUUGAAAAGAAACUUUUAAAAAUAAGGCCAAUUUUUAUUACUUCUGUCAUUCCAUUGUAAUCACUGGUCGCAUUUUGUCUAAGACACAUUUCCAUAAAUUUGUACCUAUUCGAGUUAGAACGGCUCAUCCGGGAGCGAUCUGGAAUCCUCUGGUCCCUCCAGUGGCUGAGGUUCAGGGUUUUGGGAAAUCCUGGCCUGGGGGCUGGUUGAGGACAGGCAGCCCUCUACAAAACUCUCAUUUGUUCAGUCAGUGAACAAAUGCCUGCCUAGGACCACCAUGUGCAGAGCUCUGGCCGGGCCCUUCCACACCAAGGUGCCCAUGUGUGUGUCCAGGUCAGUGGGUGUCUGUGUGUGUCUCCGUGAGAGUUUAUGGGAUUUUUGUGCACGCAUGGGUGCACAGGCCCUCUCCCCGGGCUCCCCCCACGGACUUCCUUCCAGGCCGAAUCUGGGGAUAGCCCAUGUGACGGCCCAGGCGGGUCUGCUUUCUCUCAGGGCCAAGGCUGUGGAGUGAGGGAGACAGGGGGGCCACCAUGGCGGUGGGCACCUCGGCCCCGCCAGAUCUCCCGGAGGCCAGUAAGCAUAGCGGGCCCCUCAGCCAUCACUGGGGACUAAGCCGCCCUGGGACCUAGAAUUCUAGAAUGUUCCUAGUCUCACCCUCUCAUCCUACCAAUGGGGAGACAGGCUCCCCAGUAGGGAGAGGCCUUGCCAGAGACACUGAGCACGUAAGUGGCAGGCCGAGGCCUCAGGGUCCUCUCUGACCUGCUGCAGCUUCUCCACGCACUCUCAGGGGAUCAGCCAGGCGCUGUCUGUGGCAAGGACGACUUAAAAUGAGGAGAAAACAAGUACUUUGAAAAAAUUCAGAUAAAAGCUAAUGUGUGUCGAGCUCUCACUGGAUGUCAGGCACUGGUUUGUUUGUUUGUUUGUUUGUUUUUGAGGAAGAUUAGCCCUGAGCUAACAUCCGAUGCCAGUCUUCCCCUGUUUAUAUGUGGCACGCUGCCACAGCAUGGCUUGACAAGCAGUGGGUAGGUCCGCACCCGGGGUCUGAACUGGCGAACCCGGGGCCGCCAACGCUGAACGGGUGAACUUAAUCGCUGCGCCACUGGGCCAGCCCCUCAGGCACUGUUUUAAGCACUUUAAAUACAUUAAGUCCUCAAACAACUCUAUGGGGUAGACACAAAUAUUAUCAUCCUAUUUUCCAGAUGAGGAAAGUGGGGCGCAGAGAGGUUCACUGAGUCAACCAGGGUCACACAGCUGGUAGAUUGGCUUCGUGGCCGACACUCUUUGCCUCUACAUUAAGCAGAGAAGGGGAGCAAGGCUGGCAGCCUGUGGCUAGAAAGCUGCUGUUCUUCUGACUCCGAGUUGAGACUAGCCGGUGCCCUUGGCCACCCCACGGCAUGUUCUUGAAGUCCAAGGUCUGUCUGAUCUGAAGCCUGUGAUCUUACCCACCAGGCUCUCCUGCCUCACGUGUCCCUGCACAUCCUAACCACACGCAAGGAGGUAGAGCGCAGACAUGGCCCCACCUUACAGAGGAGGAAACAGGGGCAGCUUGCCUGAGAGCACAUAGUUAGUGAACGUGGGAUCCAGGACUCAGAACCCCAGGUCCAUCUCAUUCCCUGGCCAGUACCCUUUUCUUUGUUCCUUCAGGAAUGUUCCAGAAAAGGCCCCAGCUCUAUGGUUGUGUGUGGUCAACAGCCCAAAGCAAUUUCUGAUUUAUCAUUCUACAGCACUUUCCCACCAGCCAGUGAAGGUCAGAUGCGGGCCAUUUCACAGAUGGGCAAUCAGAGGCCCAGAGAGGGGAAGAGACUUGCCCAAGGCCUUGAACUAGGGUCCCUGACUCUCAGUCCAGCGAGGGAGGCUCCAGGGAGGGGGUCCUGCAGGGGCAGGUUCCCGCUCACUGGUCUCUGCUCUGGCCAGAGGCAGGAGGGUGAGGUCAUCGCCUUAUCAGACUAAUUGCCCCCCUGAAGUAUAAUCCUGCCGCUCAGCUGGAACCUGCGGGAAUGAUCCUGGAGACAGGAGCUGUUAUUGUCCAGAUCGGGGGUCGGGGGGAGGCAGUGGUCAGGGAAGGGGGGCAAGCUGCCCUCAUAACACCCCUUGAAGCGGUUUGCUUUCUCAAAGGCCUCUGGAGACAGGCAUUUCUCGAUUUCUGAAGGUUUCUGCUGCUUUCGUGCGCAGUUGGCGGGGAUACGGGCCAUGGUAACAGAAAUGGCGUCAAGACAACCUGCCUCCUUAGACAAAACAGGGCUGGAACAAUGCAGGUGGGGGCUGUGUCCCUCUGACGCACAGGAGUGUGGUCAUCGAUGGUGGAGAUAAAAGUUAAGCAACUGGGCUCAGGAAAUGUUGGACGGGGUCAGCCCGCCCGGCUGGGGAAAGCCCUGAGGGGCUGGCGUUGGUGGGACAUGGGUGGGUCCACAUAAAGCUGGCUGUUGAUGGGACGGACUGAGAAUCAGGAGGCCAUGAUGGCAGUCGUACAAUAGCCACCAUUGAUUUAGCGUGGCUGGUGUUCCUGGCACCGCGAAAUAGUAGCUGAGCCCACUGUGUGGCCAACAGUGCUGGAGUCACAAGGCCUAGGUUUGAAUCCCAGUAUCGCCACUUCCUAGCUGUGUGACCCCGGGCAGCAGGGCCGGACUAGGGUGAGGAGAGUGAGGUGCCCAGGACACAAAAUUUAAGGAGGCACGACCCUGAGAUGGAACACCCCCUAAAUUUUUGCUCCCCGGGUGCCUCUCUUGCCUCAGCCUAGUAGGCGGGUCACCUCCCCUCUCUGAACUCCAGUUCCAUCAUCUGAAUGAUGGGGAUGAGAAUAACAGUCUGCCUCGGAGGGUGGUGAGGAGUACCCGAGAAGAGGCAGGGCCAGCACUUCACACAGUGCCGGCACACAGUCAGCACUCAGGACGCCAGGGUCCUGCCUCGGAGGAAGGCUCUGCUGUGUGCUGGGCUCACAGCAGUGACGGUCACGGACUGAAGUUGCUGUCCCUUUAAAUUCCUGGGUUGAAGUCCUAAGCCCCAGUGUGACGGUAUUAGGAGGUGGGGCCCUUGGGAGGUGAUGGGGUCAGGAGGGUGGAGCCCUCGUGAGUUGGAUUAGUGCCCUUGACAGAGACCCCGGUCACGUGAGGACACAGAGAAGUCCACAGUCUGCAUCUGGGAAGAGGGCUCUCACCAGAACCCGACUGGCUGGUACCCCGAUCUUGGACGUCUGGUCUCCAGAACUGCGAGAAGUAAAUGUGUGUUGUCUAUAAGACCCCCAGUCUAAGGUGCUUUGUUAGAGCAGCCCAAAAGGACUAGGACAGAGGCACACUCGGUCCCUGCCCUCUCGGUGCGUACAGUUGAGCCGGGAAGACACAGGGAAUAGACUGUGAGAUGAGAUGAUGAGGGAGGAGGGGGAGCCAGGGAAAACACCAGCGAGACGAGAAGCAGGACGAGAAAAAGAAAAAUCCCACUCCCCAAAGAUGGUUGCUUAGAAUCAAGCAAGGUGUGUUCCUGCUCUGAAAAUGACCCAAACCAGGGUGGCACCGUGUAUCUCACUCUAUUUAUUUUAUUCAACCCUCAAAACCGUAUCCCCACAGGAUAAGUGAAGAAACUGAGGCUCAGAGAGGUGCAGUGAUUUCCCUAAUGUCACACAGCUUGGACGUGACAGAGCCAGGACUCAAAGCUAGGACUACCUGAUUCUCUCCUCUACAGCUUGAUCCUGCUGCAAACUGGAUGUAUGAUCUCAGGCAACUCAUACUUUCCUUUCCAAGCCUCAGUUUCCCCACCCUUCAAGGUAGAAGAUGAGGAUCACAUGAGGUCAUGAAUAUGGGAGCACUUUGGACAUUGCAAGCUGCUGUCUGUGGCCGAAGGGUUAUCAGUGUAGUGAUGCAGAAAGCACCAAAGGGCCCCUUAUCUGUGAGGACCACCCUGUGGGCCCCCUACCCCCCACAGGAUCUUGCUCUGAGUCAGGGUGCUGAGUCUCCCCAGGCCUCCCUGACGUCUUUCCUGCUUGGAGGAGCAGAAGCAUUGGAGGCACUGUAACCAGCAGCUGUGAGGAAAGUGCUGCUGGCCCCUGUUUAGCAGAGGAAGCAACUGAGGCACAUUAAGGUAAGACAUUCAUCCCCGGGGCACAGUUUGUGGCCAAGAGGGAACCUGGAAGCAGACAGUCCUUGGACACCCCUGCUGUGGUUUCCUAGUGGACGAGACCCUCCGGAUGGGCAGCACAGGGCAGCUCUGGGAGAAAGGGGCCAAGGUCCUGGUUUUCUCGAGGGGCAGGGUGGGGGAAGAGGGCCCCACCAGCCUUCCAUCUCCCUCCGCCCAUCCCCCUCUCUGGGGCGCCAGCCCCGCCCCACCGUGCAACCCCUCCAGGCCCUUUCAAGCUUCCUUCUCGCCUGCUUGUGAAGGACAGUAAUCCCACACCUUGGUGCUUUCUCAUGGGAGGAAAGAGGAUUCUGGAGCAGAGGGCCAGACCGAUUUAGGGAUAGGCUCAGGAUGGAGAGGAUGGCGUGGGGCGUUGGGUGAUGAAACAGGACCCUAUCUAGCCAGGCUGACACCCUCAUUUUUUCAAAACUGUUGGAACCCAGAAAGGGGCUCAAAGUCUCAGAGCAAGUCAGGGGCAAUACCUGAAGCUAGGUGUCCUGAGUUCCAAGUCCAACGACCUUGCCUUCGCCCGCCUCGUGCUGUGACCUUUAGACGGCCAGAACCUUUGCUACGGGCAGGCAGGAGGCACUGAAAAAUACUUGUUGGUAAAUGAAUGAAUGAAUGAAUUCAUUCAUUCAUUCCGGUCCCUCCUCUAGGGGGCGCAUGGGGGUGCGAUGCUGACUUCUCUAUGGGACCCUACCUGAAUAGGCAGGGUUUACCCCUCCAAAACAUCCCUUCUUCCCUUGGAAUUAAUUCAUGGGGGUCCCUCCUUUCCCUAGAGGGUUGUGUGCCACCUAGAGGAAGCUGGGAGCCCAGCGUCCGCAUCCCUUGGGGAGAGUGACAAGGGGAGAGGUGCCCACCCUCCAUUUCUAGGACUGCUGCUACCCACUUCCAGUCUCUUACCUGACACCAGGAGGGUUCUGGCCAGGAUCAGCCUCAAUAAACAUCUAGGGAAUGAGGACGUCUUUGCAGCAGAAAGGACUUAAAGUAGAAUAUGCCACAUACUUUCUUAUCUCAGUAUUUUCUACUUAGAGGCCACUUUUAAGAACUUUCCGUCCCCUUUCCCCACCUCCCUGGUUUCCUUACCUUGAAAAGAUGCAGACAGAAGAAACAAUGUCACUUCCGUGGUGCUCCUGCCGAAGAUGCAUAACCUGAAUCUAAUCCUCAGACAAAACCCAGUGAAGGGACAUCCUACAAAAUAAUAGCCAGUCAUCUUCAACCUUGUCAAGGUCAUGAAAGUCUGAAGGAUUGUUCCAGGCUGCUGGGGAUCAAGGAUCCACGACAACUAAAUGCCAAUGUGAUUCUCCCCCAGGGCCGAGUGUCAGAUGGUGUCUGCAGAUUCUGUGGUGGGACACGCGAGUGUUAGUGUCCUGGCGGAGACGGCUGUACUGUGGUUUAUAGGAGAUUGUGCACGUUUGUUGGAAAUAACAUGCAAGUGUUCAGGUGAAAUGGGGUGUCAUAUCAGUAACUUACUCUCAAAUAGUUUAGGGAAAAAAACUUUACGUGCUGCACUUGUGGCUUUUCUAUAAACUUGAGAUUGUUUCAACGUUUAAAAUCUACAUAGUAUAAAAAUGAAUCGACUUAUUACAGGAAAAAAAUGCAGACAGUAAUCCUCUGUCUUCAGGUUGGAAUGGUGGUGAGAUGAACUCUGUAAUCGUGAUACCAUUUUAUUGAGCUCUGACUGAGGGCUUUCCUUAGGUCACCCCAUUUACUCAUCAUAUGCUUCGUCUGUGAAGUUGGUAUCUUCACCCCCAUUUUUCAGAUGGAGAAACUGAGACUCAGAGGGUUGAAGUGACUUGGCCAACGUGGCUGAAUUUGCAGCCCUCCGACUCUGCACCUCACUGUGCUGCCUUCCCUUGAGCUGCCUCAGCCCAGUGCCCGCCCCAGGGCCAACACCGCCCUUCUCUUCUCGUCUCCACCAGUCAAAAUCUUCCUACUCAUCCACACCCAGCUUUAGUGCCAUUUCCCCAGGAUGUCUUCUCUGAUUCCCCCUACUGGAUACAACUGUCCAUCCUCUGAGAUCAGUCCUUCUCAUGGUCAAUCAUUCAUUCAUUAAAAAAAUAUCUGUUCAGAGCCUUCCACAUGGCGAGCAUCGUGCCAGGGGCUGGAGAUGUGCUGAUGUAUAAAACAGACACUGUCUCUGUCCCUGUGGAAACGGCGACUAAAAGCGUCAGUCAACAAACAAAUACACAUAGAAUCCCAAAUGUGAUCGAAGCCACCAAGGAAAGAACAGGUGCUUUGACAGCGGGGUGGUGAGAAAGCCUCUGGGGAGGACAGCGUCAGGGGCACAAAGGAGCCAAGUGGUGGAAGAGCGGAGCCAGGAGCUGGAGGAAAACCAGUACACCAGAGGACGGAGGUGCUGGGGCUGAGGUCCUGGCUAGCAGCAGGCAGGGCCAGAUCGCACAGAGGCUGUUUUUAAGGAAGCUGAUCUUUACUCAACUGCAGAGGAAGCCCCCAGAGGGUUGUGAGCAGGAGAGACCUGAUGAGAUUUACAUUUUUAAAGAUCACCCUGGUGCUGCUGUGGACGAUCAGAGGGCACAAGAGUAGAAGCAGAUGGGUCCUUAUCUCUCCCUUGCUGUUUUCUGGUGAGUCCAGGUCUUAUCUUGCUUUCUAGAGAGCUCCUUGAGGCCAGGGAUGGCGUCUGUCUCAGAGGUCGCCCAGCCCAGGCUGUUUGUCCCAGGCCUGACCGGGGGGCUCUGUCUCCUGGCCUAUGCUCUGUCCCUGAGGACAAUCUGGGACACACUCUGCUCUCAGCUCGCUGGUGCUCUGCGGCCCCAGCACGGGUGGAAUGUCUGACAGAGGAGCACACGCACGUGUUCUCCAAACAGACCUUGAUUCAUGUUUCCAGGAGAAGCUCGCAAACAGACUCCUGCCGGCCGCAUCCAUCAGGGGAGAGAUGGGCUCUGUAAACAAAGGUCCACAGGCUGUCUCCAUCUUCCACACAGACACCCAUCCCUGCCGGCCACUGGCAGCCCCUGGCCCCGCCCUGGCCAUGCUCUAUGCCAAGCCCCUAUCCAGAGCCUCAAAGACACACUGCCCCUUACCGCCCCGUCUCGCAGCUGAGAAAACAGAGACUGAGAGAUGUUAAGUCCCUUGCCCAAGGUCACAUAGUCGACCCAGCUACUACACGCGCUAUACUGUAUUCUACUCUGCCACUAAUGAGAAUAGUAGUAACUCACAUUCGCCGAGGGGCACUUGUGAUGUGCUGAGCACUGUUCUAAGGGCUGUACGUAGAUUAACUCGUUUCAUCCGCACCAUCACCCUGUGCAGUCAGGGCUCUUACUUUCCCAUUUUUCUUAAGGGGAAACCAAGGCCCAGAGAGGGAGGUCAAGUGAUUGCCCCAAGUCACUCUGAGAGUGAUUAGGGGAGGGGGGACUGGAGCCGGGCAGGGAGAGCCCAGUGCCCACGGGCUGCUCUCUGGUACUGCUCCCCCGGCCUCCUGGGAGCUAAGAGCAGGCCCAUUCUUCUCCCUCACCUUUCUCUCUGUUUGAGAAUUUGAAAAAACCGAGGCCCAAAGGAGGGAAGUAACUGGGUCCCAGCCGCCCGGCUUCCACGGCAGAGUGGGGCCUGGAGCACGGGACCUGUGGGCUUUCCUUUUCAGAGGCCAGGAUAGGAGCCAGGGGUAUGGUUCUACUCCCAGCAAUGCUGCUGCCUUGCUGUGUGACCUGCAACAAGUCACAUCCCCUCUCUGAGCCUCAGUUUCCCCAUCUGCUCAAUGGGAAUGACAAUGCCAGCCCUUACCCACGUUAUAAGCCCUGCUGUAAAACCGAGUGUGUGAAGGGGUUGUGGAACAGAACAGGAUGAGUUUCGCAGCCUGGAUUCCUGUCCCGUGAAUGGAAUGUCCAAGCAGCCCCAGGGGUGGGGCUGGGCUGGGCCUCCUCCAUAGUGAGACCCCCCACCUUGGGCUCCAGCCCAAAUUGCCAGACACAGGCCUGAGAGGAGGGCCUCCCCUCCAGGCGGGGGUGACCAGGAGCCAGUCGGCUGGCCAUUUGUCCACAGAUGGGUGUGCAGAUAAGAGGCGUCUGGAGAUAAGGCAGGGCCUGCUUGCAGCCUAGUGGCGAGCCAGGCCAAGCCCCUGCGGGGAGGUGGGGCGGAGAGAUGGGGAGCUCAGGGCGCCUUGGGCAGAGAGGGCUGGACCCCCGCCCCAAGGCCUGGGACAGAACUCUUUCUGCUGCUCCAUGGCACAGGCCUAGUGCCCUCCCCGCUUCCGGACCUGCCCCCACCUCCGACAAAAUAAGACAGAAUAAAGCAAACAAAUAAACAAACAAAAACAUAUACUUUUAUCAGAAGUGCUGCUUAAGCUAGACAAAGCCACCAGCUAACACCGGGUCCAAGUCUAGCCCUGCCACUGACUUCCUGGGCAGCAUGAAGUCACUGCCCGACUCUGAAUCUCAGUUUCUUCAUCUGGGCAGUGGGCACAGGCCUGUCUUUCCCUCCUUCCUCACAAAUACCAAGGAAUCCAAAUAAUAAGAAACAGCUAACACUGUGCUCGUCCUGGGAAGUGGGUACUGUUGUGAUCUCCACUUUACAGAUCCAUAAACUGAGGUAUGGAGGGUAGGUCACACAGCUGGUAAGUGGGGAGGCCAGGAUUCAAAUCCAGGCCAUGGGAUUCCAGAGGUGGGCUCUUAGCUGCUCGAAAUGUCACCGCCAAUGUUAUUAAAGGAACAAAGCAAACUGCAAUUAGAGCCCAUCUCAGUUUAAAAAUUACACACACUUAUGUUUGUAUAUUCAUAGACAUUUUUGGAAAAAUACACUUGCGAAUGUUAACAGCAUUGAUAUCUAGAACAGGGUUUCUCGACCUUGGCACUAUUGACAUCACAGGCUGGAUCAUUCUUUGUUGUGGCCUGUCCUGUGCACCGCAGGACGUUGAGCAGCACCCCUGGCCUCUGUUCGUUAGAUGCCAGUAGUAGCAUGGCCUCCCCACCCCCAGGCUGUGACAACCAAAAAUGUCUCCAGACAUCCCCAAAUGUCCCUGGGAGGCACCCACCCCCUCCCCCAUUGAGAUCCACUGAUAGAGGAUGUGACUAAGAGGGAUGUUUGCCUUCUAAGCCCUACCCUGAUAAUUUUGCCACGUGCAAGCAUGACACAUUGAAAUGAGAAGAAACACCAGUGAAGAUGAAAGAAUAAAGAGAGGUCAUUGGAUGGUGGGUGGGUGAGUAGAAGGAUAAAUGAACGUUGACCAAAGGAGGCAGAUGGAAAUCAGAGCCUCGGUACACUGGGGGAGCAUUUCGAGACCAUCCAGUCAACUCCUGCAUUUUCCAGAGAGGAAAAGGAGGACCAUAGAGGCAAGGGGCUUGUCUGAAUCCACAGAACAGGCUGGCACAGGGUGACAUGAAAGCUUGAGUGUGUUGACUCCUGGUCCAGUGCUCUGAACCCCAGAAUGUGAAAAGGCAAACGAGAGAACGGCUGCUCCGAGAAAACCUCCCUGCUUUGGCAGCUGGAGGGUCCUGGGGCUUGAGGGCAGAGCUGCCCCCCAGCCUGAUGUCUUCAGAUAAUGGCUGGAACGUUCUGGAGGCAAGUGACUCCACAGGUGACCUGGUCCCCUCGGUGUGGAGGGCAGACACCUGCACACACGGCAGUCCGCGCCGAGGGCCAGAUGAAGGGGAGAGUCUGUUCCCCCGCUCAGUGUGGUGCAGUGUGAAUGGAAGGCCGAUACAGACUGAGACAGGUCGGGGGGCCCAGAGCGCCAAGCGAAGGAGGUAGCGGGGAGCCUUAGGGCUGCUGAGAGCAGGACCACUCAGGGGACGAGCUGUGGCUACGGCUUUGAGGAGAACCUCUCCCAGAGAUGGCCAUAGUGAGGGCAACGACAGGUCUCCUUCUUGAACACUUAUAUGUGCCCGAGGUUCCACAGAGUGUCCCAGGGUGGAGGCGGGAUUCCAACCUGUGUCCCUCUGGCUCCGAAGCCUGUGCUCUAACCUUGCUCUCUACCUCAGUGGAGCACUGCCCAGCCAUCAGGACGAAGGCGGCAGCCACAUGACUCACGACAACCAAGAGGUGCAAACAAGCCGAGUGUCCAACGACAGCGGAAUGGAUAGCAAAGUGUGGUCCAUCCAUGCAAUGGAAUAUUAUUCAGCCUCAAAGAGGAAGGAAAUUCUGCCAUAUCCUACAACAUGGAUGAACCCGGAGGACACUAUGCUGAGUGAAAUAAGCCAGUCACAAAAUGACAGAUCCUGCAUGAUUCCAUUUAUAUGAGGCUCCUGGAGUCAUCAGAUCCAUAGACACAGAAAGCAGAGUGGUGGAUGCCUGGGGCUGGGGGUGGGGGGUGGGGAAUGGGAAUUAUUGCUUAAUGGGCACCAAGUCUCAGUUUUGCAAGAUGGAGAGAGUUCUGGAGAUGGGCUGCACAACAAUGUGAAUGUACUUAAAUCACUAGUGAACUGUACUCUUAAAAAUGGUUAAGAUGGUAAAUUUUGUGCUAUGUGUAUUUUACGACAAUUGAAAAAAAGGAUGAGGCAGAAGGUGGGAGAAAUAGGGCUCCCUCGGGGAAACAAACCCCCUGCGAUUUCUGGAAUAGGGAUUUGUUGUGGGAAUCACACCCUCAAACCAUUGGGGGAGUGGGAUUCAGGAGGGGGCUGGAGGAGAAGAGGGGCCCAGGGGAUCUGAGGAACCAGGGAAGGGGCUGCCCAGUGGGGAGCUGUGCCUCGGUGGCCGUGUCUCUACUGUCCGCCCUCCCUGGUGGGUCCCACCCCUGUCAGUCUGCUGGGCCAUUGGCCGGGAAAAGGAGCGGGACGUGGAGAGAAGAGAGUGAGGAAAGGCAGCCGUCAUCUCUGCGUCUGCCCAGCAGGGCGUCUGCCCACCACAAUCUGGAGCGGUUCAACCUCGAGAGAGGGACGCCGCUGCUCACUUCCGCCUUCGGAAUCUCCAUGAAUUCCUCUUCCCGCCAACUCUAAUGAAAAACCCUGCGUGAAGGGCAUUUGGGGAGACAGUUCUCACCUUAACCAAGAUCACCGAGAACAAAUCGCCACCUGGGGUAAUGGUGGAACAAUCUCCGAGAUGCACGGUUAACUGAAAAAGAUGGAGGAAAAUAUGGAUGGUAGGCAGGUUUUCUUUCCAAAUUGUGGUAAAAUACGCAACAUAAAAUUUACCGCUGUAACCGUUUUUAAGUGUACAAUUCAGUGGCAUGAAGGGUGUUCAUACUGUUGUGCAACCAUCACCAAUAUCCUUCUCCAGAACUUUCUCCUCAUCCCAAACCGAAACUCUCUGCACAUUGUUUUCUAAGGAUAUCACUCACACACACACACAUACACACACACACACACACACACGCUCUCCUCUCUACCUCUGCGUGCACACAGUAUCUCUGGAAAGAUACGCAAGAACCGAGAGACUAGCAGUGGUGUCUCUGGAGAGGGAGACGGGCAGGCAGGGGUGGGACGGAGAUUACUGUGGGAGACUUACUUUUCACUUUUUAUUCUUUUGUACCCUUUGAACAUGUCUUUUUCUUAAUUUUUUCCCCCCAGAAGCUGUCCUCAUCCCCUAAUUCAGAUUGAGUUUAGAAAGAAAUCACCCUCUCCUUUUUGAAACAUCAGAAUGCUGUGGUUGUCCACCCACCCGGGAGCACACAACUUCCGGCACAGUUGGGUGUGGAAUAAAGAUGGCUGGACCGUGUCACUCACUGCGUGGCCUUAGGCCUGCCCCUUCCCCUCUCGGGGCCUCGGUGUGCCCAUAUGUACAAGGAAAGACUUGGAAGAGAUGGCGCCUCAGAGUCUAUGAUGCUCGGGGAUGUCUGGAUUCUAAUCAGGUUCAAAAUUCUCCCUGGAGGCUGGUCUGUGCAGUGGAGGAGGAAGCAGAGAUGCAGGGAGAUAGGGGGACUGGCCCACAGCUACCUGAAGAGACAGCACUGGGGAUGGGAGCAGAAACGGGAGUGUUCCUGGUCAACUGCUGCUCGGAGAUACCCAUGAGCUGGCCCCAAACAAACUCAGCGUCAGUAAUGGAAGCAACAACUCCCAUUCAACAAUCAGGAAACACCAAAAGGCUUCUGUUAUAUAUUAAAAUAUACUCAUGACUAUUAAAAUAACAAACGCUCACUAUGUGCUUUGUAAAAUCGCCUAGUUUACCAUACUUCGGAAAUGCUGACCUGGUCAGUCCUGAUCACUGUACAAUGGGUGUGUCUGGGACCCCGGAGAUGGUAGUAUAGGGCAGGGUUAAUGCCUUCAGAUUUAAGCAGAUUUGCAUUCAGACUUCAGCUCUCCCAGCACGUGGCAAACGCUGUGUGUUAGCCAUUACUAUUAUUAGGUACUGUAAAAUAAAAUUAUUGCACACUGGAAAAUGUAAAAUAAAAAGUGAACUUAUUCCUCAUGGUUAAAAAACAAGUUGCAUAUGACAUACACUUAAUUAGGCAUCAAAGACCUCCAGAAAGAUUCUGGAGCACUGAGUUUGGGGCGCUCUGUUACUUAGCAUUGUUGGGCAAUAGCUGACUGACACAGAUGUGAUCAUGGUAUAGUAGUUUGCUUUAAAACAAGCCCCCACCUUUUAGAGAUACAUACUAAAAUGUUUACAAAUGAAAAAAAUUAAGACAUUUUAAGAGAAAAAUUGUACUCUAUUGCCAGACCAUACAUCAGACAAGUGUUCUACCUGGAGUUUACUCGAGCUUCGUGCCCCUGAGUGCCUGUCUCCUCUCCUGCAGUGGUUCCAGGGGUCUGGAGUCCUGGGGUGUCAAAGCUGGCAUUGCGGGGGCAGGGCGGGGUGCUUUGGACUAUGCUGUCCAUGUCCUCAUUUGGGGAGUCCAUGGACGAUGGAGGUAAAGUCACUGCGAGCUGAGGCUCCACCCAGGACUCCUGAUGCGCCCGCUUUCCGUUCCUCCACACUGGUAAGAGCAGGAGGCCACAGCUGGCUCUGGGCAUCUCCCCCACUCCCAGGCUCCAUCUCUGACUCAGAAUUGCCAAUGAACGCAAGGAAAUAUUUUCCACUUUUCAGCCUCUGUCUGUGCAAAAAUCCCAUUAAGCAGCCUGUCCAGA
ensembl:lncRNA